rnacentral:rRNA from 1 species
CCUACGGGAGGCAGCAGUAAGGAAUAUUGGUCAAUGGACGCAAGUCUGAACCAGCCAUGCCGCGUGCAGGAUGAAGGCCCUCUGGGUUGUAAACUGCUUUUAUAGGGGACGAAAAAGGGACUUUCUAGUUCAACUGACGGUACCCUAGGAAUAAGCACCGGCUAACUCCGUGCCAGCAGCCGCGGUAAUACGGAGGGUGCAAGCGUUAUCCGGAUUUACUGGGUUUAAAGGGUGCGUAGGUGGGUUGGUAAGUCAGCGGUGAAAUCUUCAAGCUUAACUUGGAAACUGCCAUUGAUACUAUCAAUCUUGAAUCAUCUGGAGGUAAGCGGAAUAUGUCAUGUAGCGGUGAAAUGCUUAGAUAUGACAUAGAACACCAAUUGCGAAGGCAGCUUACUACGGAUGUAUUGACACUGAGGCACGAAAGCGUGGGGAUCAAACAGGAUUAGAUACCCUGGUAGUCCACGCCCUAAACGAUGGAUACUCGACAUACGUGAUAUACUAUGUGUGUUNUGAGAGAAGANAUAAGUAUACCACCGUCGGAGUACGAGUCGACGAGAGUUAGUAACGUAACGAAAGAAAGUUAGUACGGACGUAGAGACGUACGACCGACGGACGACGACGAGGGGAGGAGGG